UACGUAGGGGGCGAGCGUUAUCCGGAAUCAUUGGGCGUAAAGGGUGCGUAGGCGGCCUAUAAAGUCUGGGGUGAAAGGCUACGGCUCAACCGUAGUAAGCCUUGGAAACUUAUGGGCUUGAGUGCAGGAGAGGAGAGUGGAAUUCCUAGUGUAGCGGUGAAAUGCGUAGAUAUUAGGAGGAACACCAGUGGCGAAGGCGACUCUCUGGACUGUAACUGACGCUGAGGCACGAAAGCGUGGGGAGCGAACAGG
rnacentral:rRNA from 1 species